rnacentral:misc_RNA from 1 species
UAAAGUUUGUCAUUCUGCCUCCAAAUGACUUCUUUUCAUCUCAAGUCUCAACAUUAUAUAUGAUUAUAGAGAUUCUACCAAUGAAUUGAGUGCCAAUUUCCUUUCUGCUAUACACAUGGCCUGUGAAUUUUACAAAAUCAUUUAGCAUUUUAUGCUCUUCAUUUUUCAAUGAAUCAUUUUUAGUUGUUAUUUUGGUUUUGACUGCA